GAAAUGCGAUAAGUAGUGUGAAUUGCAGAAUUCAGUGAAUCAUCGAAUCUUUGAACGCACAUUGCGCCUUCUGGCAUUCCGGGAGGUAUGCCUGUUCGAGCGUCAUCAAAAACCUCAACCUUUGAUUUUAUCGCUGGUUGGUCUUGCAUUCGAGGAGAAAUCCUCGUCCGCGAAAUACAACGGCGAUUAGCCGCGCAGCCUAAGCGUAGUAACUUUUAUCUCGCAAAGGCGACGUGUGCUAUUCUGCCGCAAACCCCCCAAAGCCAAUGUUUUUGACCUCGAAUCAGGUAGGGAUACCCGCUGAACUUAA
rnacentral:misc_RNA from 1 species